rnacentral:lncRNA from 12 species
AUUAUUCUGUCAGACUUGACAAUGUCGUCAAGUGCUCUGGUGUCUCGCAGCCAAAGUGUCCUUCCCUUGUUCGUGGGUAAAGGCAGAAAUGUCACCUUUGUUUUGGACUCCUCUGUGGGAAUGAAUGGCUUUCUGGGACCAGUGAAGAAUCUUAUUAUUCAAACCUUGAUUACUAAAGCUUCACUUAGAGACUCGCUCUUCAACAUUAUCAGCUUUUCAUACAAGUCUACACCAUGGUCUUCUCACAUGAUGCCCUGCACACCUGAUGUAGUCUAUGAAGCCUUGAGCUGGAUCCACACAUUACAGACAAGUCCUGGCAGAGACCUCCACUCAGCACUGGCCUUAGCUUUCUCUGACCCUGCCUGUCAGUCUGUCCAUUUGGUGACCAGCGGUCUCCCAGACAACCCAUCACAAUGUCUGGCUUCAUUAUCAACCCUGGUGAUGCGCCCUGUGAAUACAUUUUACAUAUCAGACAAGACUCCCAUGAACACUGACAUUUCAGACUUCCUGCAGUGCAUCACUUCCACCACUAGAGGAAGCUGUUAUGUCAUGACGCUCAACUCAGCUGGCAAUGUGGACCAGCUCAGUUUGUUGCAUUCAACGGAUGACCUGUUUCAAAACCCGUCACACUCAGAGGACCCAUGGCGUUCAGUAGACUUCAAUCAGGUCCAAUACUACAACUGCACAAGCUGUGUCUGUCCUGUACCAAGCUGGUAUGUUCUUUAAUUUAGUUUUUAAUCGGAAAGAAUGAAAGACAGACAAAACACAACAAAUAAUCAUAUUGUGAGAUG